rnacentral:rRNA from 1 species
AACGAACGCUGGCGGCGCGCCUAACACAUGCAAGUCGAACGAGAAUCCGGGGCAACCCGGUAGUAAAGUGGCAAACGGGUGAGGAAUACAUGGGUAACCUACCCUUGAGAAGGGAAUAACCCGCCGAAAGGUGAGCUAAUACCCUAUACGCUAUCUUUUUUUCGAAAAGGAUAGGAAAGCCGGGUCGAGGACCUGGUACUCAAGGAGGGGCUCAUGUCCUAUCAGCUUGUUGGUGGGGUAACGGCCUACCAAGGCUACGACGGGUAGCUGGUCUGAGAGGAUGAUCAGCCACACUGGCACUGAGAUACGGGCCAGACUCCUACGGGAGGCAGCAGUGAGGAAUAUUGCGCAAUGGGCGAAAGCCUGACGCAGCGACGCCGCGUGGGGGAUGAAGGUUUUCGGAUUGUAAACCCCUUUCAUGAGGAAAGAUAAAGUGGGUAACCACUUAGACGGUACCUCAAGAAGAAGCCACGGCUAACUUCGUGCCAGCAGCCGCGGUAAUGUCUAGAUG